rnacentral:rRNA from 1 species
UACGAAGGGAGCGAGCGUUGUUCGGAAUCACUGGGCUUAAAGCGUGCGUAGGCGGACAGGAAAGUCAGGAGUGAAAGCCCCGGGCUUAACCCGGGAAUUGCUUUUGAAACUCCCUGUCUAGAAACCGGAAGAGGUUAGCGGAAUAUCCAGUGUAGAGGUGAAAUUCGCAGAUAUUGGAUGGAACACCAGUGGCGAAGGCGGCUAACUGGUCCGGUAUUGACGCUGAGGCACGAAAGCGUGGGUAGCAAACAGG